rnacentral:rRNA from 1 species
UACAGGGGGGGCAAGCGUUGUUCGGAAUUACUGGGCGUAAAGGGCUCGUAGGCGGCCAACUAAGUCACACGUGAAAUCCCCAGGCUUAACCUGGGAACUGCGUGUGAUACUGGAUGGCUUGAAUCCGGGAGAGGGAUGCAGAAUUCCAGGUGUAGCGGUGAAAUGCGUAGAUAUCUGGAGGAAUACCGGUGGCGAAGGCGGCAUCCUGGACCGACAUUGACGCUGAGGAGCGAAAGCUAGGGGAGCAAACGGG